ensembl:ncRNA T05G5.13 ncRNA
GCGAGAGCGCGAAAAAAAAUAAUGUGUGAUGUGGCGACUUCUCUCCAAAGGGACACCCUUUGGGGUGACGGGGACUCCUGGUUCCAUGGCACACCCGGACACAUGUCACUAAUUACCGUGAGGCACUAGGAGAACGA